rnacentral:rRNA from 1 species
AGAGUUUGAUCAUGGCUCAGGACGAACGCUGGCGGCGUGCUUAACACAUGCAAGUCGAACGCUGAAGCCUGGUGCUUGCACCGGGUGGAUGAGUGGCGAACGGGUGAGUAAUACGUGAGUGACCUGCCUUUGACUCUGGGAUAAGCCUGGGAAACUGGGUCUAAUACCGGAUGCGACUACUGCCCGCAUGGGCUGGUGGUGGAAAGGGUUAUGUACUGGUCUUAGAUGGGCUCACGGCCUAUCAGCUGGUUGGUGGGGUAAUGGCCUACCAAGGCGACGACGGGUAGCCGGCCUGAGAGGGUGACCGGCCACACUGGGACUGAGACACGGCCCAGACUCCUACGGGAGGCAGCAGUGGGGAAUAUUGCACAAUGGGCGCAAGCCUGAUGCAGCGACGCCGCGUGAGGGAUGACGGCCUUCGGGUUGUAAACCUCUUUCAGCAGGGAAGAAGCGGAAGUGACGGUACCUGCAGAAGAAGCGCCGGCUAACUACGUGCCAGCAGCCGCGGUAAUACGUAGGGCGCAAGCGUUGUCCGGAAUUAUUGGGCGUAAAGAGCUCGUAGGCGGCUUGUCGCGUCUGCUGUGAAAGCCCGGGGCUUAACUCCGGGUGUGCAGUGGGUACGGGCAGGCUAGAGUGCAGUAGGGGUAACUGGAAUUCCUGGUGUAGCGGUGAAAUGCGCAGAUAUCAGGAGGAACACCGAUGGCGAAGGCAGGUUACU